rnacentral:rRNA from 1 species
AGCGAACGUUAGCGGCAGGCCUAACACAUGCAAGUCGCACGAGAAUCCGGCUUCGGCCGGUAGUAAAGUGGCGGACGGGUGAGUAACACGUGGAUAAUCUGCCCUUCGGCGGGGGACGAACAGUCCGAAAGGAUUGCUAAUACCGCAUACGUCGGCGAGGUCUUCGGAUCUUGUCGGGAAAGAUGGCCUCUUCAUGAAAGCUAUCACCGAAGGAUGAGUCCGCGUCCCAUCAGCUAGUUGGCGGGGUAAUGGCCCACCAAGGCUAAGACGGGUAGCUGGUCUGAGAGGAUGAUCAGCCACACUGGAACUGAGACACGGUCCAGACUCCUACGGGAGGCAGCAGUGGGGAAUAUUGGGCAAUGGGCGCAAGCCUGACCCAGCCAUGCCGCGUGAGUGAUGAAGGCCUU